rnacentral:rRNA from 1 species
ACGCCAAUACGCCAACGCUAUUUGGUGGAUAUCUUGGCUUGGGCACCGAUGAAGAGCGUGACAAGCUGCGAUAAGCUCGGGUUAGUCGCAUGUAGACGUUGACCCCGAGAUUCUUCAAUCGGACAUCCGCUUGCGGAUCAAUAAACCGCAAGAUUCCCAUUAGGGAAAGGGAACCCUGGGAAGUAAAACAUUUUAGUACCAGGAGGAAAAGAAAACAAUCGUGAUUCCGU